AACGCGAAGAACCUUACCUAGGCUUGACGUAGUGGUAGUAGUGAAGUGAAAGCGGAACGACCCUUCGGGGAGCCAUUACAGGUGCUGCAUGGCUGUCGUCAGCUCGUGUCGUGAGAUGUUGGGUUAAGUCCCGCAACGAGCGCAACCCUCGUCGCUAGUUACACGUGUCUAGCGAGACCGCCGAUAUCAAAUCGGAGGAAGGUGGGGAUGACGUCAAGUCAGCAUGGCCUUUAUGCCUAGGGCGACACACACCCUACAAUGGCGGGUACAAUGAGCAGCGAACGGGUGACGAGGAGGGAAUAUCCCCAAAACCCGUUGUAGUUCAGAUUGUAGGCUGCAACCCGCCUACAUGAAGCCGGAGUUGCUAGUAAACGCAGGUCAGCCAUACUGCGUUGAAUACGUUCCCGGGUCUUGUACACACCG
rnacentral:rRNA from 1 species